rnacentral:rRNA from 1 species
UCGGGAAUUUUGGGCAAUGGGGGAAACCCUGACCCAGCAACGCCGCGUGAAGGAUGAAGUAUUUCGGUAUGUAAACUUCGAAAGAAUAGGAAGAAUAAAUGACGGUACUAUUUAUAAGGUCCGGCUAACUACGUGCCAGCAGCCGCGGUAAUACGUAGGGACCAAGCGUUGUUCGGAUUUACUGGGCGUAAAGCGCACGUAGGCGGAUAGUUAAGUCAGGGGUGAAAUCCUGGGGCUCAACCCCAGAACUGCCUUUGAUACUGGCUGUCUCGAGGUCGAGAGAGGUUGGUGGAAUUCCUAGUGUAGAGGUGAAAUUCGUAGAUAUUAGGAAGAACACCAGUGGCGAAGGCGGCCAACUGGCUCGAUACUGACGCUGAGGUGCGAAAGCGUGGGGAGCAAACAGGAUUAGAUACCCAUGUAGUCCCUGAGCGGGCUGGCAAGGCGCAU